GACAGAGGGUGCAAACGUUGUUCGGAAUUACUGGGCGUAAAGCGCGUGUAGGCUGCUCAGAAAGUCGAAUGUGAAAGCCCCCGGCUCAACUGGGGAGGGUCAUUCGAUACUGUUCGACUCGAAGGCAGGAGAGGGAAGUGGAAUUCCCGGUGUAGUGGUGAAAUGCGUAGAUAUCGGGAGGAACACCAGUGGCGAAGGCGACUUCCUGGCCUGUUCUUGACGCUGAGGCGCGAAAGCUAGGGGAGCAAACGGG
rnacentral:rRNA from 1 species